rfam:Oryza barthii chromosome 11, whole genome shotgun sequence.
AAAAAGGCAAACUCUGUAUUUUCGUGUCCAACUUUAAUUGUCCGUCUUAUAUGAAAUUUUUUUAUAAUUUGUAUUUUCAUUGUUGUUAGAUGAUAAAACAUGAUUAAUAUUUUAUGCGUGACUUGUCUUUUUAAUUUUUUUCAUAACUUUUUUAAAGAAGACGGAUGAUCAAACGUUGGACACGAAAAUAAGGGUUUAUCUUUUU